rnacentral:rRNA from 1 species
GCAAGUCGAACGGUAACAGAAAGCAGCUUGCUGCUUUGCUGACGAGUGGCGGACGGGUGAGUAAUGUCUGGGAAACUGCCUGAUGGAGGGGGAUAACUACUGGAAACGGUAGCUAAUACCGCAUAACGUCGCAAGACCAAAGAGGGGGACCUUAGGGCCUCUUGCCAUCGGAUGUGCCCAGAUGGGAUUAGCUAGUAAGUGGGGUAACGGCUCACCUAGGCGACGAUCCCUAGCUGGUCUGAGAGGAUGACCAGCCACACUGGAACUGAGACACGGUCCAGACUCCUACGGGAGGCAGCAGUGGGGAAUAUUGCACAAUGGGCGCAAGCCUGAUGCAGCCAUGCCGCGUGUAUGAAGAAGGCCUUCGGGUUGUAAAGUACUUUCAGCGGGGAGGAAGGGAGUAAAGUUAAUACCUUUGCUCAUUGACGUUACCCGCAGAAGAAGCACCGGCUAACUCCGUGCCAGCAGCCGCGGUAAUACGGAGGGUGCAAGCGUUAAUCGGAAUUACUGGGCGUAAAGCGCACGCAGGCGGUUUGUUAAGUCAGAUGUGAAAUCCCCGGGCUCAACCUGGGAACUGCAUCUGAUACUGGCAGGCUUGAGUCUCGUAGAGGGGGGUAGAAUUCCAGGUGUAGCGGUGAAAUGCGUAGAGAUCUGGAGGAAUACCGGUGGCGAA